GGACAUCUGAAAGCAGGAUGGUGACAGAUGAGAUGGGAGAAAUAAAUCAUAGAGCUUGCAGAAGCUAAUAGCAUCAAGAAUAAAUAUGAAGGCUGGAAAAAUGUCUCCUUCAUCAGGAGGGGCAAGGAGGCACAAGUAGAGUUGGAUGGUGCUGUGCUUCUCCAAGCACAGUGGAGACCCAGCAGAGAGGAGAUUAAUUUCAGGAUGAAGUGGAGGACAACUGAGAAGAGACUGCUGUGCAGACAUGCUGAGUGUGAGCAAGUAAGGCACUCCCACUCCUAAUUUUCAGGAAUUACAGGUAUAUUUUAUAUCUUUGGAUUUACUAAAUAGGUGCCAGCUGCUUCCUAAAGAGUGUUUGAUGUUUGAACCCCACUCGGCUCUUAAACUUUCCUUUGAGUCACUGAAGCUGGUAACUCUGUUAUAAACAAUGAUGCAGCAAAUGAAAAGAGCUUUUUUUUGCUGCUUGAGUAGGCCUGGGGAAGUAUAGGAAAGGCCUGUCCGCAGUGGGGUCUUGAUGCAGUGCAGCUGUCCUGGAGCAGCUGCUGUGCUGAGCACGGCCCUGUGCAGCAGCCUGCAAACAUGUGCCAUGUCUGGCUCCUCACUCAGCCCCCUUUCCAGGCAGUAGCAAUUCAACAUCCAUCUAGCUAAACAGAACAUCACACACAGGUCUGUGUUAAUGUUGCUCUUGUGAGACCUCUAGACAGAUUUUUUUUUUUUCUUUUAACUCUUUUCUGUUAGGAGCAGUAGGAGGAGAAAGCUGGAUAUUUAAUUUGCAUUUUUCUUUGUACACAGUGCUAGGAAUUUUGACUGGGCAUGCUUUCAGUGGGUUGCAGCAAAAAGAGGUAGGACCCUGUAUUAUCCUUUGUAGGCACAGGUGUGCUGAUUCCUCCUUAAUUAAUCCAGAUAUUUAUCAAUUGUUCUAAAACAUUUACUUAGAAAUCUGGCACUUGCAAUUUAAUCAAUUUUGAAGCUGCUUUUCAGUCCUUGUUUUGAGAUUGCACUGCUGCUGGCUUUCUCCUGUCACUAUCCCAUAAUUUUUUCAGUUUUUGUUCCACAGCUGAGGGUUGUGGCACAGGUGCACCAUGUUGGGGAGCCACUGCUGUGGCCCCUUGGCUCUGCUUUAGGACCAAGCCAGCCCUGGUGUAACCCACACACAGUGGGACUUGCUCUACCCUGUGAGCCUACUCCUACUGCUGCUCUGCUCCUUCCUCAGAGCUGCCUUGCACCAGCAGAGCUGUGAAGGAAAAGCUGUGUACCUAUAGGGCUGCUUUUCCGUGGUGGCAUUUCUCUUCCCUCAGUGCAGUUUAGAAGCAGCUAGGAGUUUAAACUUCAGUAUAAUAGCAAUAUUUCCUUUUUAGACUGAACUAAAGCUGACACUUAGUAACAUGUUAAUUGAAGUUGGUUGUAAUGAGGUGUGUUCACUGUUUGAAAUCAGGGCUCUGCUCCAGGCACCCUCCAGACACUGCCGGAAUGGUGUAGUUUAGCUGAGUAGCAGUAUGGGAGGCAGGAGUAGUACACUUUCCCA